GCGUAACCCCUUAAUCACGAACUUGAUAGCGAUUAGCAUGCACAUUCGGACACAGCCGUUGGACACCUAUGAGCGAUUGGAUGCAGAUGAGAACGAGAGCACAAAUGUAGCAGGAUGGAAUUUGAAUUCAAGACAGUUGAACGGAAGCCAACUUCCGUACAUAUAGUGGCGUGAUCCGAGGUGCCUCGGAUGAAACCUUUCCUACUCGAGAGCCUCAACAGAUGGGGAAGUAAAUUUUUGAGCUCCCUGGUGGUUUUGCCAGUAAACGAAGGUGGAUUUGUUGCCUCCCUUGGAUGGGAGAAACAGAAUCUCAUGCGAGAAAUAGAACACCCUCGUCGAAAGCCCACCAAGGCCUGCUUGUAAUCCCAAAAAAGAGCGCUGGCACGCCAUGAAACACAUAACUCUUGCACGGUAGGUUUACUGCUUGGGUUUUUUAACCCCAUUGGACUACGAAUACCACAGGGGUCUUUGAAUGACUAAAUGGAAGACUACAUCUAACAGAUACUGAAAUUUGUUGCCAGAAAAUAAAACUAAACUCAACGUUUUAUACGAUCACUCGUGUUACAAUAAAAACGAGUCUGAAAUGACUCAUUCAAAAGUA